UAAACCCCUCCUGUUCUGGUGGUCCUGGAUGAGGGGGAAGAAGAUUUCUGAAUAUUCCAAAUAAAGGCAGUCCAAUUGACAAUCCCUACACCUAUGCAA